CCUACGGGUGGCAGCAGUGGGGAAUAUUGGACAAUGGGGGGAACCCUGAUCCAGCGACGCCGCGUGAGUGAAGAAGUAUUUCGGUAUGUAAAGCUCUAUCAGCAGGGAAGAAAGAAAUGACGGUACCUGACUAAGAAGCCCCGGCUAACUACGUGCCAGCAGCAGCGAUAAAACGGAGGGGGGAAGCGUUAUCCGGAUUUACGGGGGUGAAAGGGAGCGUAGACGGCGAUGCAAGGCUGUAGUGAAAGGCGGGGGCCCAACCCCAGGACUGCUUUGGAAAAUGUAUGGCUGGAGUGCAGGGGAGGUAAGUGGAAUUCCUAGUGGAGCGGUGAAAUGCGUAGAUAUUAGGAGGAACACCAGUGGCGAAGGCGGCUUACUGGACUGUAACUGACGUUGAGGCUCGAAAGCGUGGGGAGCAAACAGGAUUAGAUACCCGAGUAGUC
rnacentral:rRNA from 1 species